UCGCAACACUCCAACGACCAUUAGAACAAUAACAUCUAGCCGACCAAUGCACCACCACCACCGGCAUUAGAGAAUCCUCCAUCGACAGCACCAGCAAUCUCUCACGAUCAAUAUAACAGCCUUGUUCAGCAGGUACAAGUACUUUCAGUCGCGGUGAGAGGGAUACAACAAAAUAUGAAGCCAUCCCCCGUCGUGAAAAAUACAUAGCCAGCC
rnacentral:lncRNA from 1 species